UUUCCCUUUGGUUUAGGUUACUUUGUUCAGCAAGAAGCAUGGGGUGAUAUGGGCGGAGGAGGAAGCAGAGACAACGUACGGGAGCAUCGAUUUGGUAUCCUCUGUUCUGCAGAGGAAACUGAGGAAGAUCAAGGAGAAAGAUACUGACCAUGGCCCCCACAUGAGGGGGUUCAAUCGCCUAAAGGUUCGGGAUACAGAGUUGGACAUAGUUGAAAGACGAGGAGGAACAAGACAUAGUGGAGUCUUCACCUGUAGAAGAAGACGUAGAACAACUGGGCAAGAUUGUGCGCACAAAGUAUUUUGACAUGCCGCCACUGUCGGUCGAGGAAGCAAAGGAGCAGCUCGAGAAUCUGGAUCACAGUUUCUAUGCUUUCAGGAACGAGGAAACUGGUGCAUCUUGUACAAGAGAAAAGAGGGUGGAUAUGGUCUGAUAAUUCCAAAAGAUGAACAAGUGCCAAAUACCGCAUCAUCUUCUGAACAUACCAUAGAAACUGCUAUCGCAGAGAAAGCAAGUGGAUGAUGCAGGAAGCUACACCUUAUUGGCAAUUCAUCACUUGCUUCUCGAGCUAGAUUACAGGAGAAUCUAGUGGUUGGAGAAGUAUCUCUGAUGUGCGAGGCGCACAAGAUCUGUUUGUUUAUACAGACAAACUGGGAUUUUAAGCUUGCACUUUUUUAUCUAAUAUUUUCUCGCUAAAAAUGUUCGGACUCGGGGAGAGAUAUCAAUCCAAUCAUUGGCUCAUUGGCUUUGAUGUUAAUAGACUAUGCAGCAUAACCUUCUUUAGAUGGUUUCUUAAAUUAAGUGUAUUUUUAUGUUUAUUAAUAUUUUUUUAAAAAAAAAAAUCUACCAUGUCAGCCACAAUUGAUGUAAAAAUCUAGUGUUAACUUUUAUUUAUUCCUAGUUAAAAUAUUGAUGUGCUAUGUAAGUGACGUUGGUCACUACA